rnacentral:rRNA from 1 species
UACGGAGGGUGCGAGCGUUGUCCGGAAUCAUUGGGCGUAAAGGGCGCGUAGGCGGCAUGGCAAGUCAGGAGUGAAAGGCCUGGGCUCAACCGAGGAACUGCUUUUGAUACUGCCAAGCUAGAGUGCGGAAGGGGCAACUGGAAUUCCCAGUGUAGCGGUGAAAUGCGUAGAUAUUGGGAAGAACACCUGAGGCGAAGGCGGGUUGCUGGGCCGACACUGACGCUGAGGCGCGAAAGCCAGGGGAGCAAACGGG